GCUCGCGUAGCUCAGUGGAUUAGAGCGUUGUACUUAUGAGGUUAUCUGCCUAAGCAUAUGCAAGGGUCGGCGGUUCGAACCCGCCCGUGAGCA